GUGCCUUAAACUAAUGAGUAAGGAAAAUAUGCGAGCCUUGGUAACGCUUGGCUCAUUUGCCUAGCACAGCCUAGAGCUUAGAAUUUUUGCGAGGGCACAGGUCGUCCCGUGGAUACUUUGCCUACUUUUGCAAAUCGUCCUGGUGAAGCGAUCUGCCCC